GUGUUGGUGGUUCAGUGGUAGAGUGUUCGGCUGCUAUACGGGUGGCUAGGGCUCGAUUCCUGGCCAACGCA
rnacentral:tRNA from 1 species